rnacentral:antisense_RNA from 1 species
AUUUUAUAGGCUGAUGGUAUGAAACUAUGGCCCAGAGAAGCAAAGCAGCUUGUCCAAGGUCAUAUAGCCAGCUAAUCACAGGACCAGGCUAGGAAGAGUUUCACAACUCAGGCCAGUGCUGCUUCUAAUCCGUUUAUGUAUCUACUGAGUGAUUCAGAACCAAAGCCAGUAAAUCCUUUAUGAGGUAACAAAGGACAGAUAUGAGGCACCUCAAAGUGGCAUGAAGAGGAAGUCCUCACAAGAUCUGGAGCCAGCCCCUAAAGAGACUUCAAUAACAGAAAAGUAAAAAUGGUCCAUAAAAGGAAAAAGAUCAAUUAUCAAAUGGUAAUGUAACUGUCCAAAUAGUUGAGAGUCACACAAACAUAAAUUCAAAACAAAUAAUUC